rnacentral:misc_RNA from 1 species
UAUGGGUAGAGAAGGCCUAUUUUUACUUCUUCUAAUGGUGGCAACUGCUUCCUGUAAAUUUUAUAUGUUCCAUCCCAAAGGACAGUCAUGCACUGAUGCCUCGACGGAAGAAGAGAAUGAACUGUACCUAGGAGAGUUUGUGCUGGUUCCUGGAGGGGUCCUGCGAGUGGUGUCAGUGGUGGGAUCAGACUUCGCUGCCUCCAUUCGCUUCUUCAUCUGUCCUCAAGAAGUACCUCUCGAUUAUCAUGGAUCGUGGAGGUUUAACUGCAGUGACAGGAUACCACUACAAGUGAAGAACGACCCGUACCUCUCUCAACUCGACACCAGACUGAUACACUACAAAAACAUGACAGUGACACAGCUUCAAUUGCCAGACGGCUUCACAUGUCUUCGCUGUGGCCUGCAGGCAGAGGUGGCGCACUUACCAUGUCGAAACUGUCCACCAACCUACCUAGAGGACUCCUGCACCUUCCUCUCCAUUGGCCAAAUAUGGAACAAGGAACCUAUUGAGAGGGAUACAUACUACCCAUACUACUAGCACUUUGAGACGGAAGAUACCUCGGGAGAUGAUACACGACACAUGACACUCGACAUGACACUCGACACGACACUUGACAGACAGACACACACUGGUAUCAUUCGUGUAGUCAAUUAUGAAAUUUUUAUAUUAAUUGCACUUCGAGAUGGAUGAUACUUGACACUCGACACGACACUUGACAGACAGACACACACUGGUAUCAUUCGUGGUCAAUUAUGAAAUUUUUGUAUUAAUUGCACUUCAAGAUGGAUGAUACUUGACACUCGACACAUGACACUCGACAUGACACUUGACAGACAGACACACACUGGUAUCAUUCGUGCAGUCAAUUUUGAAACUUCUGUAUUAAUUGCACUUCAAGAUGGAUGAUACUUGACACUCGACACAUGACACACAAUACUUGAUAGACACAUGCUGGUAUCAUUCCUGCAGUCAAUUGUGACACUUCUGUAUUAACUGUGCUUUGAGAAGGAAAAUACCAUGGCAGAUGACACUUGACACUCGACACAUGACAUUUGACACACUUGAUACUUGGACACACACUAGUAUCAUUCCUGCAGUCAUUAUGAAACUUCUGUAUUAACUAUGCUUUGGGACGGAAGAUACCAUGGCAGAUGACACUUGACACUUGACACAUGACACACGACACUUGAUAUUUGAUGGACACACACUGGUAUCCUUCCUGCAGUUGAUUAUAAAACUCCUGAUAGAC